rnacentral:rRNA from 1 species
CCUACGGGGGGCAGCAGUGGGGAAUAUUGGACAAUGGGGGCAACCCUGAUCCAGCCAUGCCGCGUGUGUGAAGAAGGCCCUCGGGUUGUAAAGCACUUUCAGUGAGGAAGAACGCCUGGUGGUUAAUACCCAUCAGGAAAGACAUCACUCACAGAAGAAGCACCGGCUAACUCCGUGCCAGCAGCCGCGGUAAUACGGAGGGGGCGAGCGUUAAUCGGAAUUACUGGGCGUAAAGCGCGCGUAGGUGGCUUGAUAAGCCGGUUGUGAAAGCCCCGGGCUCAACCUGGGAACGGCAUCCGGAACUGUCCAACUAGAGUGCAGGAGAGGAAGGUAGAAUUCCCGGUGUAGCGGUGAAAUGCGUAGAGAUCGGGAGGAAUACCAGUGGCGAAGGCGGCCUUCUGGACUGACACUGACACUGAGGUGCGAAAGCGUGGGUAGCAAACAGGAUUAGAUACCCGAGUAGUC